GACGAACCGUGCGAACGUUAUUCGGAAUCACUGGGCUUAAAGCGCGUGUAGGCGGGACGGCACGUCGGUCGCUGAAAGCCCCCGCUCAACCGGGGAACGGGCGCCGAUACGACCGUCCUGGAGGGACGUAGGGGGACCUGGAACUUCCGGUGGAGCGGUGAAAUGCGUUGAGAUCGGAAGGAACGCCCGUGGCGAAAGCGAUCUGCUGGACCUCUUCUGACGCUGAGGCGCGAAAGCCAGGGGAGCAAACGGG
rnacentral:rRNA from 1 species